UACGGAGGGUGCAAGCGUUGUCCGGAUUUAUUGGGUUUAAAGGGUGCGUAGGCGGUCCAUUAAGUCUGGGGUGAAAGCCCGUUGCUCAACAACGGAACUGCCCUGGAAACUGGUGGACUUGAGUACAGACGAGGGUGGCGGAAUGGAUGCUGUAGCGGUGAAAUGCAUAGAUAGCAUCCAGAACCCCGAUUGCGAAGGCAGCUGCCUAGACUGUAACUGACGCUGAGGCACGAAAGCGUGGGGAGCGAACAGG
rnacentral:rRNA from 1 species